rnacentral:lncRNA from 1 species
GGUUUGGCUAUUUAAAUUAAAAAUUUAAAUUGCGUGCAAAUGAUACACUUUUUACAGACUUAAACUAUCAAUACCUUGAGUUUUUCUUGAGAAAACAGCAGAAUAUGUAAUGAAGAGCUGGAAAUCUUAUCAGCUAUGAGUUCUGGAUACUUCAUUGCAAAAGGAAACUCUGUCCGUCUUCUGAACACUUUAUUGCAACUAAGGAACAUCUGUUUGUGCUAUAGAACAUCUUUCUUCACCAUAGAACAUUAUGUAAGAACAUGUCUUCACUAUAGACCAUUAUGUCGGAACAUGUCUUCUCAAUAGACCAUUAUGUAGAAAUGUCUUCUGUAUAGAACAUUAUGUAGGAACAUGUCUUCUCUAGAACAUUAUGUAGGAACGUGUCUUCACUAUAGAACAGUAUGUAGGAACAUGUCUUCACAAUAGAACAUUAUGUAGGAACAUGUCUUCUCUAGAACAGUAUGUAGGAACAUGUCUUCACUAUAGACCAUUAUGUAGGAACGUGUCUUCACUAUAGAACAGUUUGUAGGAACAUGUCUUCACUAUAGACCAUUAUGUAGGAACGUGUCUUCACUAUAGAACAGUUUGUAGGAACAUGUCUUCCCUAUAGAACAUUAUGUAGGAACCUAUCUUCACUAUAGAACAUACAUGUUAUUAUACAAGUUCACAGUUUUAUUUAGCUAGUAUUAUAGCUCAGUCUUUUGUCUUUGUAGAUAUCAUUGAUUACUGUUGUUGGAUCUUUCUUGAUAUAAAAAAGUCAGUUUCAUCUUAGAGCAAUAUUCUAUUGUCCUCCAUUGCCAUGAUCAUCAUUGAAGAUUGAAUAUAAACAUCUCAAAUAAACACAGUUCUAAAGUUUCACAAUUUUCCAAGACUUCACAAUAAACAUUUUACAAAUUAUACAGUGCACUAUUCAUAAUAAUAAACAAAUUUUAAAUAUGCCUACUUUUUACACCACCCUCAAUGUUUAUUAUCUAGAACUCUGUUUACAAUUUUGUUUUCAUAUUAUUUUUUGUUAUUUCUUCUUUUUU